rnacentral:tRNA from 1 species
GUGCCUUUAGCUCAGACGGUUAGAGCAGCCGACUCAUAAUCGGUAGGUCACAGGUUCAAAUCCUGUAGGGCGCA